rnacentral:ncRNA from 2 species
AACCGCCGUAUACGAGAACCGUACGUACGCGUGGUGUGAGAGGACAGAUAGGGAAUUAAUCCCUAUCUUCCUACUCUAU